UGUAUAAUGGGUCAGCGACUUAUAUUCUGUAGCAAGGUUAACCGAAUAGGGGAGCCGAAGGGAAACCGAGUCUUAACUGGGCGUUAAGUUGCAGGGUAUAGACCCGAAACCCGGUGAUCUAGCCAUGGGCAGGUUGAAGGUUGGGUAACACUAACUGGAGGACCGAACCGACUAAUGUUGAAAAAUUAGCGGAUGACUUGUGGCUGGGGGUGAAAGGCCAAUCAAACCGGGAGAUAGCUGGUUCUCCCCGAAAGCUAUUUAGGUAGCGCCUCGUGAAUUCAUCUCCGGGGGUAGAGCACUGUUUCGGCAAGGGGGUCAUCCCGACUUACCAACCCGAUGCAAACUGCGAAUACCGGAGAAUGUUAUCACGGGAGACACACGGCGGGUGCUAACGUCCGUCGUGAAGAGGGAAACAACCCAGACCGCCAGCUAAGGUCCCAAAGUCAUGGUUAAGUGGGAAACGAUGUGGGAAGGCCCAGACAGCCAGGAUGUUGGCUUAGAAGCAGCCAUCAUUUAAAGAAAGCGUAAUAGCUCACUGGUCGAGUCGGCCUGCGCGGAAGAUGUAACGGGGCUAAACCAUGCACCGAAGCUGCGGCAGCGACACUAUGUGUUGUUGGGUAGGGGAGCGUUCUGUAAGCCUGCGAAGGUGUACUGUGAGGUAUGCUGGAG
rnacentral:rRNA from 1 species